rnacentral:lncRNA from 1 species
UCUUGAUCAAGAGUGUGUGAAGCUUUUGAGAAUUGUGGUUGAACUCAUUUGAUGAAGCUUUUGUUAGCACCAUAAAUUGGUUUUGCUUCACAUUAUCUUGAUCAAGAGUGUGAAGUUUUUAACGAGUUGUAGUGUUUGCAUUGUUAUAGAGGGGAAAUGUCUGAAGUAGAUGCAAGAUGGCUGAAUAGCUUGAUCUUCGUAUGCCAUGCACUGAAGUUAUUGUUGGCUUGCAAUAAGACUUUGUUGGUGACUAUAACUCUUGUUAGGCAUAAGUGCUAUCCUAGUUGAGUUGUCAAGCUUGAGGGUUUUUGAUUAUUUGUGAAUGCUAGGAGUUCACAUGUACAAGUUGUAUCAUUCGUCUUCUGGUAGGUGGAAUGAAUGAUGAGUUGCUUUCAUCACUUGGUUGGUGGUAUGAAUGUGAGUUCUUUCAUCACCUUUAAUCACAUUUCAUCACCUGGUUGGUGGCACGAGGAUGAGUUCCUUCUUCACCUGAUUGGUGGCAUGAAUGGAAAGUUGCCAAAUGAUAUUAGACACUUGGUUGGUGGCAUGAAGAAGAGUAAGGUACAUUUCAUCACCUGGUUGGUGGCGUGAAGAUGAGUUCCUUCUUCACCUGGUUGGUGACAUGAGUGGCAAGUUGCCAAAUGAUAUUAGAGUACUGGUUGUACAUUUCAUCA